AGUGAAGAGAGAACAAGACCUGAAGAGUGAGGCAGGAAGAAGAAAAAUUCCAUUUUGGUAGCUCUCUGUAAAGCAAAAUCCUUUAUCCAUUCAAAAAUGCUCGUAAGAGUCAUUGAGCUUUAAAGGCUGUCUUAAAGCCUAAUAUCCCUGUGUUCUUUAUCUUUAUAUAUAUUUUUUGAGAGCCUUGUAAGCCAGAAGACGGUUUUAAACAGAAGAGGGACACAAUCUGACUUACAUUUGAGGGGAGAUGGGUAGAAAUGGGGCUGGGCUCUAUUGUAUUGGGGGAAGGUACCACUGGAGGGUGUGAGGGGCUUUUGUAUCGCUUUCUCUCUGGAAGUUUAAAUGCUCUCAUUAUCUCUACUAUUCUGAAAAUGUAUAUGUGUCGGCAUAGGUCUAUUUUCAUCUUUUGUAUUGGGUGCUCAGUAGUCAUUUAGUCUGGAAAGCUGUGUCCUUCAAUUCUAGGAAAUUGCCUUAAAUUAUUUUUUUGAUGAUUUUCUUCCUUCAUUUUCUCUUUUCUUUCUUUUCAGAAUGUCCACUUUUUAGACGUUGACCUUCUGAGAGUGCUACUUAAUAUUUUUGUACUCUCUUCUCUCCUGUGUUUCUCUUUUUUUGCUUUCUUUCCUGAGAUUUUCCCCAACUUUACUUCCACAUCUUUUAUUUAAAUGUGUGUAUUUUCUUUUCCAAAUUUUACACUUUUUUUCAAAUCCACAAAAUAGUAAAGCCAUUUCCAUGAAAAAACAAAAUGAAAAAAGACAAGCACCAAGAAAACAUGUCCUUCUCUGCCAGAGUGGCAUCAGGGCAAGACUAUUAGAACCAUAAAGGUGAGGAGAGUGUCUUCUCCUCGAGUAUGUUAAGCAUAGUGCCUCUUGAUGGUAAGCACUCGAAUUUACUGUGUUGAAUGAAUGAGCAGUAGAAUAUGGAGUGAGAUGUCAGGAGGUUCUCAUAUAUUCUAUCACGUUGUAGAAAGCCUCAGAAAUGACCACGCGAUGGCUAGGUGAGUUCUAGAACCCCUGACCCUGAGAGAGGAAAGCGAUACGUGAGGAUGGUGGGUCUCUGGCUGGGUUGCCUUUGUUAUGUACAAAGCAUUCAUAUGUUAGGCGCUCCAUCCUCAAAAGCACAUCCUUCUUCUUUCCCUGUUGUUCCCGUUUCUGUUUAUGGCACCACAGUGGUUGGCGAAGCCAGUUAUUUUUGCCUCUGCACUACCUUUUGAUUUCAAUUUCUUCCCUAUAUCCCCUUUGCCGUUAUUCAAACCUUCAUUUUUUACUUAUCUCCUCCUGGGAGCCUUCUUACUUCCCAAUUAGUCUCUGAAUGUCUUUAUUCUUUCAUUUCUUGCUCGUUUUACACAUGGAUUUCAUAUUAAUCUUCAUGUUGCCCAUCUUGUUUCAAAACUACCACUAGUUGCUCAUUGUCUAUUAAAUUUUUAAAAACGUCUCAGUUUAGCAUUCAAGGCUCUAUGUAUUUCCACAAUACAGACACAACUGACUACACAUGCCUUCUGAGUGCUGCCUUCCACCUUCAAGCUUUUCUUCUUAUUGUUCUUUCUUUCUGGAUGAUCACCUUUCAUUUCUGCCCAGUGAAUCCUUGAAGGUGUACUACUGGGGUCACCUCCCUCGUGAAGGUUUUCUGAUUCUCCCAACGAGGUGUAAUUUUUCAUCUUCCCCAGAACCUUGAUAUUGUUUUGUAACACUAUUGGUAUUGAUCAUAUUCUGCCUUGUAUCAUAGUUAUUCGUGUACAUGUUUUCUUCCCAACCCUGAGGGCGAGCACUAAACCUCAUUCAUUCUUACAAAUUUAGUAAGUGCUGCCUUUUGCACAUUAUGGUUCUCAUCACUGACUGAAUUUACUUACAAAACUCAGGUUGAGUGCCACUAAAAUGGAUCACAUUAAGAUUUGUUCAAUUAAUAUUUAUCUAGUGUCUGGUUUCUUUGUUACAGUUUAUUAUAGAAACAAUGUCAUGAUUUAUUAACCCAUUGAAUUUAUGGUAAAGAAAAUAAUGCAAAAUGUCUGCACGAGCUGUACCAGAUGUUGAUUUAUCAAGAUAAUAAUCAGAAAAAAAGCAAUUCUAUCCAGUACCAAAGCAGGAGAGAAAAAAGACCCAAUAAUAUAAUUCUAAUGUAAAUACAUUUUACAUGAAGGAAUAUAGAAAAACUUUGUAGUAUCAAAAUAAUAGCAAGUCAGCAAUAAAGGUUAUGGUACAUGAUAUAUAAUUAUAACACAUUCCAUUCUGUAAAAAAUGUGCAGUCUUUCUGAAAUUUUUAGUUGUUGGUUCCAGUUCAAAUGGUAGUAGAUUAUCUCCUUUGUAUGCACUUAGAAUACUGACAUCCCCCUUAAGAUUAAAAAAAUAAAUCCAAUAAAUCUCCGAAUUGUAUUAAUAUUGGCUGUAUUCUCAGAAGAAAUUAGCAUCAAUUUUAGUUUAGAUUGAGAAGUAUUUUCAAAGGAUGGCUUAUGUGCAAGUAGUGGUAAUGGUGCUUGAAGUAAUUAGGGUGUUUAACAACCAGGCAGAAAAAACCCACUAAUUAGUCUCAUCUUCUUUUCUUUUUUUCUCCCACAAGGAUUGGAAAACCUGGAAAAUAUUUGAGUCAUCUACAGAUUGAGUCUUAAAAAAAAAACAAAAAAACCACACACACACACACACACACACACAAAAACAACAAAAAAAACCACAGUAUCAGAUAUAUUUGCAAAGAUGAUUUUCUAAGUCCUUUAGGUUUAAAAAGUUUAGUGUCUUGGACUAGCAGAGAUUUGAAACUUCUGAGCUUUGGAGAAUACAAGUCAGCUGGUUCCUGAAGAGACUUCAGUUCCUGAAGAAUAGUUUAUGCCUUUCUUUAUAAGCUUUGGUUAUAAUGUCAUCCUGUUAUUGUCAUCCUGAUGCAUUGACCGUAAUGAUUUCUGAUGAAUGUAGAUAUAUGAUAUAUAUUUGUAUGUAUAUAUAUUUGUUAUUUUUCAGUGAAUCCAACUUAUUUCCAAAUGCGAAUAAGUUCCACAGAUUAGUCUGUGUUGCCUUUUUGUUUUCCUGAAAUUGAGUUUGCUAACCUUUCUCUGGGAAAAAACAUUCAGCAUUUAUCUUUGUUCAAUUCUGUUCCUUUUUAUUGUUCUGGCCUGUGGGCUUUGCCUAUAACAUCUGUAUCUGCUUCCCCCAGUCCACCGAGUGUAAGUAUAACAUAGAUAGAUGCAUGCUGGUGGUUGUUUUUUGUUUAAACAGCUGAACACCUGGCUGCUCGUGUGCAGGUGCACAGAUCUCUGCAGAAGGGAUUUGAAUUUAAGACAAACAAAAAGAAGAAUAUAUGAAAGUUGCAGAUGAGGGCUUGGGUGUUGGACCUGAGAUGUUUCUGUGUUCGAAGACAAUAAGGACAUGUAAGUCCCUUACAUGUCAGAGACUGUAAAAUGCUGGUCAUAGUGUUUCUGGAAAAUUUCUUUACUAACAUAAAGCUUUCUGUAUUUGUCAGUGUGAA